GGUGAACGCUGGCGGCGUGCUUAAGACAUGCAAGUCGAACGGCAGUCUUCGGACUGUAGUGGCGCACGGGUGAGUAACGCGUAACUGACCUACCCCAAAGUCGCGGAUAACGAUUCGAAAGAAUCGCUAAUACGUGAUGUGCUGUCAGAUUGUGUUCUGCCAGUAAAGAUUGAUUGCUUUGGGAUGGGGUUGCGUUCCAUCAGCUAGUUGGUGGGGUAAAGGCCCACCAAGGCGACGACGGAUAGCCGGCCUGAGAGGGUGGCCGGCCACAGGGGCACUGAGACACGGGUCCCACUCCUACGGGAGGCAGCAGUUAGGAAUCUUCCACAAUGGGCGAAAGCCUGAUGGAGCGGCGCCGCGUGAGGGAUGAAGGUCUUCGGAUCGUACACCUCUGAAUCAGGGACGAAAGACACUUCGGUGGGAUGACGGUACCUGAGUAAUAGCACCGGCUAACUCCGUGCCAGCAGCCGCAGUAACAC
rnacentral:rRNA from 1 species